CACCGCGGACGUGGCUCCGCUCCCUGCGGACGGGGAUGGGGCGCCGGUGGGGUCUGGGGGCGCCGGGAGCCCGGGGGAAGCCCCCACCUCCGGGCCGGAGCAGGGGGCGAUGUCGCCCCAGGACUCGGAGGGUCCUGCGGGCAUCGCUCCGGGAGGUGUGGAGCCGGCGGGCGCGGCUGCUCCCUCCACUCCGUUCCCAAAAAAUACCCCCGUUCUCAAUAUAUUAUUCCCUGGUUAUAAACAAUCCCACUAGAGCCUCCCCCCCCCCCGGCAGGACUCCCCCCUUCCCCGGGGGUGCCAGGCCGGGGCAGCCCGGGCCCCCUCCCUUUGUUGGGGCCGGGGCAGCCGCGCACCCCGCAGCGUGUUCCCGGCCGCAUCCCGGCCCGGCAGGCGAUCCCGGUGAUCCCGGUCCGGAGGCAGCACUGGGCAGCCUGGCCCCUCCCCGGACACCGCCGGCAGCCCCCGGCCCAAAUCAGAACUAACUGCUGCGCCGCUUGUUUGUAUUGUUUUUUUCAGAAUCCUCAUCAAGAAUAGGGCUCCUGCCAGGUAAAUGGAUUCUUGCCUGAUUUUCAAUGCUCCUGGGAGGAUUUGUAGCCAAAAUGCCGUUUUAUUGCUUUGUCUCGAACCCCCCAUUUUCUCCCAAAGCUGAUGAUCCUAGGCGGGGCUGAGAGGCGAGGCUGGGGCCAGCAGCCCCAGGGCACAGCACAGCCCUUCCUUCUCCUCAGAGUUAACCUGGCAGAUGCUCUUCUUGCGGAGCCAUUUUCUCUCCCUCAUUGUCUCGCAGCCUUUUGUGUGUGCGGGUAGGUCCUACCCGGGGAGCCAGGAGGAGCACAGAAAUAAUCAGAUUUUCAGGCGUUCCGGACUUGCAGGGAGUCUUCCACACCCUCACACCCCCAUUCUGCCGGGCUGCCCAGCCCCAGAGCUGCAGACAAAGGCAGCAGUGCCUGGCACCACUGCAGCAGCACCGGAGCCUGGGCUGUGCCGGAGCCUGGGCUCUGCUGGAUGGCAGCGAGGGUCGGGCAGUGUUGGCAGGGCACAGGGCAGGGGGGUCUGGCCACCCCGCUGGGAUUUGGGGGCUCAGGGUGCCCGGAUGCCACAUCCCAGCGAUCAUCUCUCCGGGAUCUCUUGUGGCAGUGCAGUGCCUGCUGUGCCCUCAUCUCCCCACUCCUGCCCGCAGCAGAGCUCGUGCUCCUCGCCCUCCCUCCUCACUCGAGGAGGGGGUUUAGCCCCCGUUUGAUUCGGGUGUCCAGCCCCCCAGGGGCACCGUAUGUGCCACCCACACGCAUGGCAGGGGCAGCUCAAGCUCGUGCCCCAGACGAGUGUUUAGGUGAGUCCUGUCUGCACAAAAUUGUUUUUCCCUCCCCAUCUCCCGGAAUGUGCUUCACUCCCAGGCCGGAGAGGCCAUCCUGCCGCCGUCACGUCCCGCCUGCCCCACCACCGGCGCCUCUAGGCAGGGGAUCCAUUUGCCAGAUGCUCAGUGGCAUCUCCACGGCUCAUUCCCGCUGCUCGGCCCCACCGCAGCUGGCUUGCAAAUGCCGCCUGGACGUGCUGUCCCCACGGGAGGGACUGUCCUGCCGGCAGCGCCUGCGGACUGCGGUGACAAUGAACCGUGGGAAGCAGGAGCGGCUCGGCAGCUGAACUGCAGAGUCAUCACAGCCCCGCUCCCCUGGGACCUGCUGCUGUCCUGGUUUGCCCAGGCAGGCAGGCCAGGGCAGGGCAGGAGCAGGAGCAGGCCACAGACAUGGGCUGGCUGCUGGCACCAGCCACGUGUCCCCAGAUCCCCAAGGAGAUGGAGCAGCACCCAACGCAGCGUGGCUAUGACCACCAGUCUGCCCAGUUUAACCAGUGGAACCACAGGGUCCCAGUGACCCAGCUUAACCAGAGGGCAAGGGCAGAGGUGGAGGCAGCAGUGGCAGUGGCAGUCAGUCCCUGCCUCCAGCAACAGGUAGGGACAGUUUGGGGCAUUGCCACCAUUUCUGGUGUGGUGGUUCCUGGUGUCCCUCUGUGCCUGGUCCAGCUCCCCCACUCUGCAAGGGGACAGGGACAGGAGGGUCCGUGCCCAGCCCUCCUGCCGGGCUCCUGCCAGCUCGGUUGGGCUGUGCCUGAGGACGAUGCCCUGUUUCUCUCCCUUGCUGCGUUGGUUGUUUCUUUUGCAGCUGCUAAUGACUGACCUGAGGUCUGUUCACACAGUCCCCUCGCUGCCCCCACGGCGCAGAGCCACACGGAACAGGGGACAUUGCACAGCACUCCCGUAGCUGGUGACCACAGUGCCACCACCCCAGGGGCACGGCCCCAGCUCCUGCCUGGCCAGACUGACCGUGUCCAGAGGGGAGCCGGGCUCAGGAGCCACCAUCACCACCAACACCACCAACACAUGAUGCCAGAGCUGGGCUGGCCUCAGCAGAGCACCCUGGUGCCCACUGCCAUGGCAUGGAGCUACGAGCCCGGCCACUGUGGGGGACACAGCCCAGGAGACCACGGUGAUGACACCUGAGGACACGUGGCUGCACGUGCACACAGUUUUCCCACAAGGUGCUGGGGUGUCCUUGCCUCCCGCUGCUCCCCCCCAGACCUGUCCCCUUCCCUGAGCGCAGUGUAGGAGGAGGGAGAAGGGAAAGGGAGUGGGGGCAGAGCUGUGCCAGCUGCUCAUGGAGACACCAUGGCCAGAGCCCAAAGGGACUCUGUUUGUCCCCACUGAUCCUGCCCUUCCCUCUGGCUGUCGGUGAAGUCCUGGUGCUUUCUGCUCUGGAGGUGCCAUGUCUUGGCAGGACCCUGCCUCUGCUCCCCUUGGAGAAACACCUGGCUUGUGGAGCAUCCUGGAGCGUGGGGAGGAGCAUGGGCAGUGAGUCCUCCUCCCGUGGCCUCUGCAGUGGCCCCCGUAAGUGGCUGGGACUGUGUCCUCACUGAGCAGCCACUCAGGCCCACGUCCCCACACAGGCAGAAGGGCGGGGGGUGCAGUGGGCUGGGGGCUGAGGGCAGACGCAGCUCAUGGCAAGUGUUACAGCCUUGAAGUCCAAACAGGACAAGCAUCCUCUUGUGGACCAGAGGAGCUCGUGCUGUGGGAGGAGGGGACCCAGGGGCACACGGGGCAGGGGCUUUCCUGGGUGCCCUGUCCCAGCCCUGUAUCUCAGGGCACGGUGUCCCUGCCACCCUUGGAGCACUGCUCAGCCCCACGGAGAGGCAGCUCCCGAUGGGGAGGGGGUAAGCUGUGGGCCACCUUUCCUCCGCUCCAUGGUGGUUUUCCCUGCUGGACUUCCUCCUCCCUGCAUGUGCAGUGGGAGCUUGGUGCAGACCUGGAGCAGCUGUCGUGGUCUCUGCUGGAGCCCUGCUCUUGCAGAGCUGCCUGGAGCCUCACCCCAGACACUGCCAGCAAUGGUUUCACCCCUUCCUUCUCUGCUUCUUCCAGCUCCUUUGGAGUCCUUUAGGCACUGUGGGGACUGUCCCCUCCAUGCAUCCUGUCUCUCACCUUUCCCAGUCCCAGGGGUGGGAAGCACAUGCUGUGAGGGGACGCUCACUGCUGAGACCUUUAGUACCUCCCUGGCAGGGAUCAGAGGGGCAGAUGCCUGCUGAGCAUUUCAUUUGGAGACAGGUUAUGUUACACCGGUGAAACCCCCCGCUAACACCUUCCCUAAUGUCAAUCCGGUGGCAAAGCCCAAAAACUCCUCCUGCUCUUGAGCCAAAGCCCUGCUGCUGACGGGCCCGGCUCUGCAUGCUGCCAGUAUUAACCUACUAACCUCCUGGGACCCCUGUGCCCUCCCCGGGGCUGCCACGGCCCCUGGCACAUGGACUAACCCACUAACCAGCCCAGUGCAUGCCCUACUAACCUACAGCAGCCCUGCCUCGUGCCCACUAACCACGACAAGCAGCGCUGCCUUUAAAGGGGAACGGAAAAGCUGGAAAAGGGGUUUGGAAGUGCCGGAUGUCGGUGCCAGGCUGCACGGGCAGAGACGGGCAGGGGCAGCCAGGAGAGAGGACUGGCAGCCCCCUGCCCAGCACUGGGCAGGAGUGGUGCCUGCACAGGCAGCCCCAGCCCUGGCUGUGGGCAAGGAGAGGGGGCCCAGCAGCCCCUGCCCGUGCAGGCAGCCCCAGCCCCGGGUGGCACAGGGGACAAGCAGUCCCUGCCCCGGGGCAGCAGAGGGGACCAACAGCCCCUGCCCCGGGCAGCCCUCAGCGGCACGAGGAGAGGGUUUCUCCCCACACGCCCUGCCCGGCUCUGCCUGUGGAGCUGUUGCUGACUAGGAGCCUAAAACGGUUUUAUCAGCAGAAGCUUUUCAGUUCCUUUUUAAGCCAGUAGAUCUCUGUUACUAACACAUUCCUGAACUGAAUUAAACAAACUAACCAUUGCUGCUUUUCUCUUCAUUUCUCUUCCAGUGUGUGUGUCCUCUAAGGCAGACCAGUGCCCUGCUUCUGUUACUAACCUGUACUUCUGUUCCCACUGCACUAAUCCGCCCUGUUUUCUCUCUGCUACUAACAACUCUCUCUGCACUUUGCCUCUCGGGUGCUGUUUGCCAUGACAAGUGACGGUGGCUCCUCCCGGACUUACUCACCUGCAGCACCCGAUUUUCGGUGCUGCUGAGCAUCCCUGGCUCCCAUUUGGUACCAUGGGAAAGAAGAUGCUCAGCUGCGGCACUUUUGAAAAUUUCCCUCUUGGCCCAUUUUCCAACAAAUUUCAUGUGGCACAACGAGGGAAAAGAGGCUGGGUGGCAACAGGGCAGUACAAACCCAUUAAUAAUGACUGGCAAUGGCUGUAAAGGUCCAGCAAACCCAGUUUGCAAAGAGAUUCAGCCACAGAGCGAAGCUAUUGCCAUGAGCCUGAGCUUGGGGCUCUCCUGAGGCCCCAGGUCACCUGUCAUGGGGAAUGUUCUCGUGCUGCUCCCAGCAUUGGUGCUCUUGGGCUCCCUCUCUUCACUCCUUUUGUGUCUCCACAGUUUAUCUUGUGCCUGGUGCAUGUGGAAGCCACUGCUGGCAGCGUGGCCCCGACUAACUCAUGUCUGCGUCACCACCGGGUUGGUACCUGCAGGUACCCUGGCCCCAGCCAAGGGCAGGGGUGGGCAGUGGGUGCCUCAGCCAUCAGGUGACGGGGGCACAGCCUGGGCUUUGCUUUCCUGUCCAUCUGUCAGCCAGAUGAACGUCCCUGGCCUCUGCAGGGAUCCUGCCGGGGUGAAGGAUGCAGGCCCUGGCCUGCUGGUGUGGGUUUGGCACACGGCAGGGCACUGACGGCGUUCGGGGCUGCCAUGACCAGCGGGGGCAGAGCCAAGCCUUGUGUGCCAGCAGAGGACGGUGGCCCUGUGCUGCUGGCAGGGACAGGCUGGCUCAUUGGGACAUCUCAGGCUGUGGUGUUGGGGGGACAGGGCACCCCUCAACCAAGGGUCGCAGCAGCUCUGUCCAGGGGGACAGAUCCAGACAGGGUCUGGCUCUGGCUGCUCUCUCUUGGCUUUGCCUUGUGCUCACUGCUCCCAUGUCGAGGCCCUCCCCAGAGCAUCUGCUGUCACUGGCUGGUGGCACUGUCACUCUCCUGCCUGCACUGGAAGGCAGAGCCAGACUGGAGUCUCCUGGGUGGCCCCAUGACACUGCCACCUCUCCUGGGCAUCCCUGCUCUGCACUACCCCCAGCCUGCUCCUUUAGCUGGGGGGGGUCUCUCUCAGGCUGAUGGGGGUCCCCUCCCCACCCAGCUCCGUGUCUGUCCAACCUCCACCUUAUCCCACUAAUCCCCCAAAAUCCCCUUCUUCCACGUGGCUGGCACCAGGAUGUGUUUUUGGGCUGAUGCUCCUGCGUUUGAUGGAAGGGGGAGACAGGGCCCUGCUGUGGGCAGAGUGGGGAACAGAGAGACAGGAAUGGGACAGGAGGACAUGCCAGGUCAGGCUCAGGGUGGGCAGGUUCAGGACUCCUGCCAGAGGUCAGGAACACCAUGAGCAUGGGGCUGGGGUUGUCAGAGCCCACCAUUGCAAGGGACUCUCCUCCCUGCCCCACAGACCCCCCUUUCUGCUCCAGAGCAGCCCCAGUGUGCACAGGGGGACCUUCCCAGGCUUGUCACUGAGGGGAGCCAUGGCACAAGUCACCCUGAUGGCUCAGAGGAUGUCCUGGGCAAGUGUCACCUUGCACAGGCCCCUCAGUGGGACAGGCCACCAGUGCCCGUGGGUGGCUGCUCCCCCUCAGAGCGGGGCAGGAGGGAAGAGAGGCUCCACCAAACAGCCAGGUUGCUCCUUCACUCUGCUCCUGCACCUCGGGGCUCCCUGUCCCUGCUCCCCAGUUACCGUGGCUGGCAGUAGUUGAUGUCUCUGUCUGUCCAUCCUUCUUUGCUGGCACCCCCAGAGGCUGUCUGGCCAGGGGCACGGUGUGUGCAGAUCCCCCUUCACCUGUGGUGGUGGAUGUGGGGCCGGGGGCACCCCAGCAGGUCCAGCCCUGGGGUGCACUGUCCUGCCCAGAGUGCUCCAGCCCAAGCUGGCCAGGGCUGUGCCUGCUCUGUGGCCACAUCCACGGUGGGGCUGGACACUGGCCAGCAGUCCCAUAAGGAUGUCCCCCCUGCCUGUAAUAUCUACUGUGAACAUGGCAAGUGUGCAACCA